rnacentral:rRNA from 1 species
GAUGAACGCUGGCGGCGUGCCUAACACAUGCAAGUCGAGCGAUUCUCUUCGGAGAAGAGCGGCGGACGGGUGAGUAACGCGUGGGUAACCUGCCCUGUACACACGGAUAACAUACCGAAAGGUAUGCUAAUACGAGAUAAUAUGCUUUUAUCGCAUGGUAGAAGUAUCAAAGCUUUUGCGGUACAGGAUGGACCCGCGUCUGAUUAGCUAGUUGGUAAGGUAACGGCUUACCAAGGCGACGAUCAGUAGCCGACCUGAGAGGGUGAUCGGCCACAUUGGAACUGAGACCCGGUCCAAACUCCUACGGGAGGCAGCAGUGGGGAAUAUUGCACAAUGGGCGAAAGCCUGAUGCAGCAACGCCGCGUGAGCGAUGAAGGCCUUCGGGUCGUAAAGCUCUGUCCUCAAGGAAGGAAUAAUGACGGUACUUGAGGAGGAAGCCCGGCUAACUACGUG